rnacentral:tRNA from 2 species
AAGAAAGAAAAAAGAACUGCUAAUUCUUUACACCAUGGCUAAACCUAUGGCUUUCUUA